AUACGUAGGGGGCGAGCGUUGUCCGGAAUGAUUGGGCGUAAAGGGCGCGUAGGCGGCCCGGUAAGUCUGGAGUGAAAGUCCUGUUUUUAAGAUGGGAAUUGCUUUGGAUACUGUCGGACUUGAGUGCAGGAGAGGUAAGUGGAAUUCCCAGUGUAGCGGUGAAAUGCGUAGAGAUUGGGAGGAACACCAGUGGCGAAGACGACUUACUGGACGGUAACGGACGCUGAGGCGCGAAAGUGUGGGGAGCAAACUGGAGUAGAUACCCUGGGAGUCCACACUGUAAACGAUGAAUGCUAGGUGUAGGGGGUAUCGACCCCUUCUGUGCCGCAGUCAACACAAUAAGUAUUCCGCCUGGGGAGUACGGCCGCAAGGUUGAAACUCAAAUGAAUAGACGGGG
rnacentral:rRNA from 1 species